rnacentral:lncRNA from 1 species
CGCCGUUCGAGAUCGCGGACGACAGCUGCACGAGGUCCUGCCGGUCGGAGUCGCCGCCGCCGGCGCCGCCGUUCGGGAGGCCGGCGGCCGACGACGCGGAAGAGGAGUCGGCGGCAGCGAUCUUGCGGCGCAUGGCUGCUCGGAUCGGCUGCGCGACGCAGAUCGAGGGAAAAAGAAUGGAAAAGCGGGCGAGGGAGGGAGGAGAUCUAGGAGGAAGGAGGGCGGAGCAGUCUCCGCGGUCGGGUGGGUGUGCAGGGAAAUGACGGAAUUGCCCUCAGGCCCCAGGACUGGGACUGUGGGAGGAGGACUGGAAACUGUCUCAACC